rnacentral:rRNA from 1 species
UACGGGGGGGGCAAGCGUUGUUCGGAAUUACUGGGCGGAAAGGGCUCGUAGGCGGCCAACUAAGUCAGACGUGAAAUCCCUCGGCUUAACCGGGGAACUGCGUCUGAUACUGGAUGGCUUGAGUUCGGGAGAGGGAUGCGGAAUUCCAGGUGUAGCGGUGAAAUGCGCAGAUAUCAGGAAGAACACCAAUGGCGAAGGCAGCUCUCUGGGACGGUACUGACGCUGAGACGCGAAAGCGUGGGGAGCGAACAGG